AUUGGCUAGAGUGAGUGUGCGUACUAAGCGAUUGAUGUGAGUAAAGCCCGCCUGGGCGUGUCUGCCGCGGAGCAUAAGCUCACGUGGAUUACCUGUAGGGUCUCCAUCAGGAAGCCCUAGGUGCCGGCAAGAAGGGUAGUGGAAAGACGUGACCUGCCCUCAAGCAGCUCAGCCUCACGGGGAAAAGAAAUGUGUAAAGAGCUGAACUUAGGGUCAUGGAUGUUGUAUGGACAAGGAGUUUGAAAAACUUGGCUGGAGGGGAGGACUUUGCAUUUGCACACACUGGAAGGAUGCCUUUAUUGUAUCCAUUUCUGUAUUCGUACCAGCACCUCGCAAAAUAAUUGUCUCAGCAGACUCCCUUGGGCAAUACUUCACAGACAUGACUGUGCACGCCAGUCACCCAGAGAUCAUGUUAAAAUGCACAUCUGGUUCAGCAGGCCUAGGUUUCUGUAUGUUAUAGAAAUUCAAAGAAGACAAACUCUAGCCAAGAGCAGUGUGAAGAAAAGAAGACGCUAUAUUAAUCACAGUCCAGGGAUGCCUUCUGGCUUCCUGGCAGCAAUUCCGGCCUGAGAUUCCUUCUCUGUGCAUACUUCCUGUCAACACUGUGUGAUGUCAAGCUGUAGCCAUCACAAAAGUACUGUGAACACCUGUAAAUCCCAACUAUCAAAAAUCACACCCAGGAAUCCAAAUUAGCAUUAUUAUGUCAAAAGAAAAACCUGAUUUCCUCACUGUCUGAUAA